UACGAAGGGGGCUAGCGCUGCUCGGAAUGACUGGGCGUAAAGGGCGCGUAGGCGGCUUGCACCGUCAGAUGUGAAAUUCCUGGGCUUAACCUGGGGGCUGCAUUUGAUACGUGUGGGCUUGAGUGCGGAAGAGGGUCGUGGAAUUCCCAGUGUAGAGGUGAAAUUCGUAGAUAUUGGGAAGAACACCGGUGGCGAAGGCGGCGACCUGGUCCGUGACUGACGCUGAGGCGCGAAAGCGUGGGGAGCAAACAGG
rnacentral:rRNA from 1 species